rnacentral:rRNA from 1 species
UUGAUCCUGGCUCAGGAUGAACGCUAGCGGCAGGCUUAAUACAUGCAAGUCGAGGGGCAGCAGCUUUAUAGCAAUAUAGAGGCUGGCGACCGGCAAACGGGUGCGGAACACGUACACAACCUUCCUUUAAGUGGGGGAUAGCCCAUAGAAAUGGGGAUUAAUACCCCGUAAUAUUAUUGAAGUGGCAUCACUUUAUAAUUAUAGUUUCGACGCUUGAAGAUGGGUGUGCGGCUGAUUAGGUAGUUGGCGGGGUAAAGGCCCACCAAGCCUUCGAUCAGUAGCUGAUGUGAGAGCAUGAUCAGCCACACGGGCACUGAGACACGGGCCCGACUCCUACGGGAGGCAGCAGUAAGGAAUAUUGGUCAAUGGACGCAAGUCUGAACCAGCCAUGCCGCGUGAAGGAUGAAGGUCCUCUGGAUUGUAAACUUCUUUUAUAGGGGGCGAAAAAAGGGAAUUCUUUCUCACUUGACAGUACCCUAUGAAUAAGCACCGGCUAACUCCGUGCCAGCAGCCGCGGUAAUACGGAGGGUGCAAGCGUUAUCCGGAUUCACUGGGUUUAA